AAGCGGCAACAGCUCAAAUUUGAAAUCUGGCCUCCGGGUCCGAGUUGUAAUUUGUAGAGGAUGCUUUUGGCGAGGUGCCUUCCGAGUUCCCUGGAACGGGACGCCAUAGAGGGUGAGAGCCCCGUCUGGUCGGACACCGAGCCUCUGUAAAGCUCCUUCGACGAGUCGAGUAGUUUGGGAAUGCUGCUCAAAAUGGGAGGUAUAUGUCUUCUAAAGCUAAAUAUUGGCCAGAGACCGAUAGCGCACAAGUAGAGUGAUCGAAAGAUGAAAAGCACUUUGAAAAGAGGGUUAAAAAGUACGUGAAAUUGUUGAAAGGGAAGCGCCUAUGACCAGACUUGGGCCCGGUGAAUCAUCCAGCGUUCUCGCUGGUGCACUUUGCCGGGCACAGGCCAGCAUCAGUUUGGCGCGGGGGAAAAAGGUUUUGGGAAUGUGGCUCCCUCGGGAGUGUUAUAGCCCAUUGCGUAAUACCCUGCGCCGGACUGAGGUCGCGCAUCGCAGGGAUGCUGGCUUAAUGGUCAUCAGC
rnacentral:rRNA from 1 species